ACGGAGGGGGCUAGCGUUGUUCGGAAUUACUGGGCGUAAAGCGCACGUAGGCGGCUUUGUAAGUUAGAGGUGAAAGCCCAGGGCUCAACCCUGGAAUAGCCUUUGAUACUGGCUGUCUUGAGUGCGGGAGAGGUGUGUGGAACUCCGAGUGUAGAGGUGAAAUUCGUAGAUAUUCGGAAGAACACCAGUGGCGAAGGCGACACACUGGCCCGUAACUGACGCUGAGGCGCGAAAGCGUGGGGAGCAAACAGGA
rnacentral:rRNA from 1 species